rnacentral:lncRNA from 1 species
GUCACUUGGUUGUAUGAAUUUUCUACAACUUCGUGGUACUCGGUUCGAGACUGGCACCAAAGAAAAAAUAAUGCACAAAUGGUUAAUAAAAAGUUGAAAACCUCCCAAAGAUUUCAGUAACAUAUUUUGGUCUCCUGUUUUGUUGCGAAAGAAAGAGGAAAUAAAGAACAUUGUCAUUUUUUAUUGUCAAUACUCAAUACUAUAAGAAUAUAAACAUUACUUUUACUUGGCAUAGUUGUAAAAUGGUUCUAAGUAACACCUAUGAGAUAUCAACAUCACUAUAUGAGCGGCAGCAAUGGAAACAGCAUUUGCUACCACAAAUAUGGAUCAAGUAAUAACAACCAAGAGAACUUUUUGUGCUCUCUGACUUUUCUAGCGCCCCCAAAAAUUCCAAAAAUACCUCCCCUC